rnacentral:rRNA from 1 species
GAUGAACGCUGACAGAAUGCUUAACACAUGCAAGUCUUUGGCGAAUCUGUGCUUGCACAGGCUAGCCAAGGCGGACGGGUGAGUAACGCGUAAAGAACUUGCCCUGCAGACAGGGAUAACAGACGGAAACGACUGAUAACACCUGAUACAGUUGCCGGCACGCAUGUGCCUGGCAAUGAAAAGAGAUGCUGCAGGAGAGCUUUGCGUCCUAUUAGCUUGUUGGUGAGGUGACGGCUCACCAAGGCGAUGAUAGGUAGCCGGCCUGAGAGGGUGAACGGCCACAAGGGGACUGAGAUACGGCCCUUACUCCUACGGGAGGCGGCAGUGGGGAAUAUUGGACUAUGGGGGCAACCCUGAUCCAGCAAUUCUGUGUGCACGAAGAAGGUUUUCGGAUUGUAAAGUGCUUUCAGCAGGGAAGAAGAAAGUGACGGUACCUGCAGAAGAAGCGACGGCUAAAUACGUG